rnacentral:rRNA from 1 species
UACGUAGGGACCAAGCGUUGUUCGGAUUUAUUGGGCGUAAAGAGCGUGUAGGCGGCUUUACAGGUCCGUUGUGAAAACUCGAGGCUCAACCUCGAGACGCCGGUGGAAACCGCAAAGCUAGAGUCCGGAAGAGGAGAGUGGAAUUCCUGGUGUAGCGGUGAAAUGCGCAGAUAUCAGGAAGAACACCCGUGGCGAAGGCGGCUCUCUGGGACGGUACUGACGCUGAGACGCGAAGGCGUGGGGAGCGAACAGG